rnacentral:rRNA from 1 species
UACGUAGGGUGCAAGCGUUGUCCGGAAUUAUUGGGCGUAAAGAGCGUGUAGGCGGCCCGGUUAGUCCGCUGUGAAAGUCCAGGGCUCAACCCUGGAAUGCCGGUGGAUACUGUCGGGCUAGAGUCCGGAAGGGGCGAGUGGAAUUCCUGGUGUAGCGGUGAAAUGCGCAGAUAUCGGGAGGAACACCUAUGGCGAAGGCAGCUCGCUGGGACGUUACUGACGCUGAGACGCGAAAGCGUGGGGAGCAAACAGG